UUUGCCCUCGAAUAACCGAAUGUUUGAGAUUGAUCUCUGUUUGGUUCAGACAGGGGCAUAUAGCCAAUGGUUUCAAACUUAUUAUAAUCAGAUUGUUUGUAAUUAUAAAUCUGAAUUUAGUUUGAAGUUAA